GAUGCAGAGUUGUAGAUGCAGAGUUGUAGAUGUAGAGUUGUAGAUGUAGAGAUGCAGAGUUGUAGAUGUAGAGUUGCAGAGUUGUAGAUGCAGAGAUGCAGAGUUGUAGAUGUAGAGUUGUAGAGUUGUAGAUGCAGAGUUGUAGAUGUAGAGAUGUAGAUGCAGAGAUGUAGAUGCAGAGAUGUAGAGAUGUAGAGAGUUGUAGAUGUAGAGAUAGAGUUGUAGAUGUAGAGUUGUAGAUGUAGAGAUAUAGAGUUGUAGAUGCAGAGUUGUAGAGUUGUAGAUGUAGAGAUGCAGAGUUGUAGAGUUGUAGAUGCAGAGUUGUAGAUGCAGAGAUGUAGAUGCAGAGAUGUAGAUGCAGAGAUGUAGAGAUGUAGAGAGUUGUAGAUGUAGAGUUGUAGAUGUAGAGAUAGAGUUGUAGAGUUGUAGAUGUAGAGAUAUAGAGUUGUAGAUGUAGAGUUGUAGAUGCAGAGUUGUAGAGUUGUAGAUGCAGAGUUUUAGAGUUGUAGAUGUAGAGAUGCAGAGUUGUAGAUGCAGAGUUGUAGAGUUGUAGAUGCAGAGUUGUAGAUGUAGAGUUGUAGAUGCAGAGGUAGAGAUGUAGAGUUGUAGAUGUAGAGAUGUAGAGAGUUGUAGAUUUAGAGUUGUAGAUGUAGAGAUAGAGUUGUAGAUGUAGAGUUGUAGAUGUAGAGAUAUAGAGUUGUAGAUGUAGAGAUAUAGAGUUGUAGAUGUAGAGUUGUAGAUGCAGAGUUGUAGAGUUGUAGUUGUAGAGUUGUAGAUGCAGAGUUGUAGAUGCAGAGAUGUAGAUGCAGAGAUGUAGAUGCAGAGAGUUGUAGAUGUAGAGAUAGAGUUGUAGAUGUAGAGUUGUAGAUGUAGAGAUAUAGAGUUGUAGAUGUAGAGUUGUAGAUGCAGAGUUGUAGAGUUGUAGAUGUAGAGAUGCAGAGUUGUAGAUGUAGAGAUGCAGAGUUGUAGAUGCAGAGUUGUAGAUGCAGAGUUGUAGAUGCAGAGUUAUAGAUGCAGAGAUGUAGAUGCAGAGUUGUAGAGAGUUGUAGAUGUAGAGUUGUAGAUGUAGAGAUAGAGUUUUAGAUGUAGAGAUAUAGAGUUGUAGAUGUAGAGUUGUAGAUGCAGAGUUGUAGAUGUAGAGAUGUAGAUCCAGAGUUGUAGAUGCAGAGUUGUAGAGAUGUAGAUGUAGAGUUGUGGAUGCAGAGUUGUAGAUGUAGAGAUGUAGAUGUAGAGUUGUAGAGAGUUGUAGAUGUAGAGAUGUAGAUUUGUAGAUGCAGAGUUGUAGAUGUAGAGAUGUAGAUGCAGAGUUGUAGAGAUGUAGAUGCAGAGUUGUAGAGAUGUAGAUGUAGAUGUAGAGUUGUAGAUGUAGAGAUUUGUAGUUGUAGAGUUGUAGAUGCAGAGUUGUAGAUGCAGAGAUGUAGAUGCAGAGAUGUAGAUGCAGAGAGUUGUAGAUGUAGAGAUAGAGUUGUAGAUGUAGAGUUGUAGAUGUAGAGAUAUAGAGUUGUAGAUGUAGAGUUGUAGAUGCAGAGUUGUAGAGUUGUAGAUGUAGAGAUGCAGAGUUGUAGAUGUAGAGAUGCAGAGUUGUAGAUGCAGAGUUGUAGAUGCAGAGUUGUAGAUGCAGAGUUAUAGAUGCAGAGAUGUAGAUGCAGAGUUGUAGAGAGUUGUAGAUGUAGAGUUGUAGAUGUAGAGAUAGAGUUUUAGAUUUGUAGAUGUAGAGUUGUAGAUGCAGAGUUGUAGAUGCAGAGUUGUAGAGAUGUAGAUGUAGAGUUCUAGAUGUAGAGUUGUAGAUGUAGAGAUAUAGAGAGUUGUAGAUGUAGAGUUGUAGAGAUGUAGACUUGUAGAUGUAGAGUUGUAGAUGUAGAGAUGUAUAUGUAGAGAUGUAGAGAGUUGUAGAGUUGUAGAUUUGUAGAUGUAGAGUUGUAGAUGUAGAGAUGUAGAUGCAGAGUUGUAGAUGCAGAGAUGUAGAUGCAGAGAUGUAGAUGCAGAGUUGUAGAGAGUUGUAGAUGUAGAGAUAGAGUUGUAGAUGUAGAGAUAUAGAGAUGUAGUUGUAGAGUUGUAGAUGUAGAUGCAGAGUUGUAGAUGUAGAGAUGUAGAUGUAGAGUUGUAGAGAGUUGUAGAUGUAGAGAUGUAGAGUUGUAGAUGUAGAGAUGUAGAGUUGUAGAGAGUUGUAGAUGUAGUGAUGUAGAGAGUUGUAGAUGUAGAGAGUUGUAGAUGUAGAGAUGUAGAGAGUUGUAGAUGUAGAGUUGUAGAGAGUUGUAGAUUUAGAGUUGUAGAUGUGGAGAGUUGUAGAUGCAGAGAGUUGUAGAUGUAGAGAGUUGUAGAUGCAGAUAUGUAGAUGCAGAGUUGUAGAUGCAGAGUUGUAGAUGCAGAGAUGUAGAGUUGUAGAUGUAGAGUGUUGUAGAGUUGUAGAUGUAGAGAUGUAGAUGCAGAGUUGUAUAUGCAGAGAUGUAGAGAUGUAGAGUUGUAGAUGCAGAGUUGUAGAUGUAGAGAUGUAGAUGUAGAGUGUUGUAGAGUUGUAGAUGUAGAGUUGUCGAUGUAGAGAUGUAGAUGCAGAGAUGUAGAUGUAGAGUUGUAGAUGUAGAGAGUUGUAGAUGUAGAGAGUUGUAGAUGCAGAGUUGUAGAUGCAGAGAUGUAGAUGCAGAGUUGUAGAUGUAGAGUUGUAGAGAGUUGUAGAUGUAGAGAUGUAGAGUUGUAGAGAGUUGUAGAUGUAGAGAUAGAUGUAGAGAUGUAGAGAGUUGUAGAUGUAGAGUUGUAGAUGUAGAGAGUUGUAGAUGUAGAGAUGUAGAGAGUUGUAGAUGUAGAGAUGUAGAUGCAGAGUUGUAGAUGCAGAGUUGUAGAUGCAGAGUUGUAGAUGUAGAGUUGUAGAUGUAGAGAUAGAGUUGUAGAUGUAGAGAUAUAGAGUUGUAGAUGUAGAGAUGUAGAUGUAGAGUUGUAGAGAGUUGUAGAUGUAGAGAUGUAGAGUUGUAGAUGCAGAGUUGUAGAUGUAGAGAUGCAGAUGCAGAGUUGUAGAUGCAGAGAUGUAGAUGCAGAGAUGUAGAUGCAGUGUUGUAGAGAGUUGUAGAUGUAGAGAUGUAGAGUUGUAGAGAGUUGUAGAUGUAGAGUUGUAGAGUUGUAGAUGUAGAGAUGUAGAUGUAGAGUUGUAGAUGUAGAGAUAUAGAGAGUUGUAGAUGUAGAGAUGUAGAUGCAGAGUUGUAGAGUUGUAGAGAGUUGUAGAUGUAUAGAUAGAGUUGUAGAUGUAGAGAUAUAGAGUUGUAGAUGUAGAGAUGUAGAUGCAGAGUUGUAGAUGCAGAGUUGUAGAUGCAGAGAUGUAGAGUGUUGUAGAGUUAGAGUUGUAGAUGUAGAGAUGUAGAUGCAGAGUUGUAGAUGUAGAGAUAGAGUUGUAGAUGUAGAGUUGUAGAUGUAGAGAUAUAGAGUUGUAGAUGCAGAGUUGUAGAUGCAGAGUUGUAGAGAUGCAGAGUUGUAGAUGUAGAGAUGUAGAUGCAGAGAUGUAGAUGCAGAGUUGUAGAGAGUUGUAGAUGUAGAGUUGUAGAUGUAGAGAUAGAGUUGUAGAUGUAGAGAUAUAGAGUUGUAGAUGUAGAGUUGUAGAUGCAGAGUUGUAGAGAUGCAGAGUUGUAGAUGCAGAGUUGUAGAGAGUUGUAGAUGUAGAGAUGUAGAGUUGUAGAGAGUUGUAGAUGUAGAGAUGUAGAUGUAGAGAUGUAGAGUUGUAGAUGUAGAGAGUUGUAGAUGUAGAGAUGUAGAGAGUUGUAGAUGUAGAGAUGUAGAUGCAGAGUUGUAGAUGUAGAGUUGUAGAUGUAGAGAUAGAGUUGUAGAUGUAGAGAUAUAGAGUUGUAGAUGUAGAGAUGUAGAUGUAGAGUUGUAGAGAGUUGUAGAUGUAGAGAUGUAGAGUUGUAGAUGCAGAGUUGUAGAUGUAGAGAUGCAGAUGCAGAGUUGUAGA
ensembl:lncRNA